rnacentral:snRNA from 1 species
AUCGCUUCUCGGCCUUUUGGCUCAGAUCAAGUGUAGUAUCUGUUCUUAUCAGUUUAAUAUCUGAUACGUCCCCCAUCGGGGGACUACAUAUUAAAUGGAUUUUUCGAACAGGGAGUCGGAAAUGGGGCUUGCUCCGUCCGGCUCCACGCAUCGACCCGGUAUUGCAGUACCUCCGGGAACGGUGCAACACUU